ACAGGAGGAGGCCGGAGGGAAGAAAACAAGUGGCCAAUAAGCAUUUGCCCUUUAUUGGAAGGGAACUUAAUUCGUUAGUAAUCAGAAGAGGGGAAAUUAAAGCCACGCAAGAGAGCACACUCACCACAGAGGCAUCUUAUGGCGAAAAGUUGGCCAUGUGUUGGUGAUGCCAUCUAGGAGUCUCAGCCCUCAGGGGGAGUGGCUGGAGGAUUAGGAGCGUGACAUCCUUCCUCAAAAAGUCAAAACACCCGCAGGAAGGAACAGCUAGCAGAGAAACACACCUGUCCCAAGGGCCAAGUGUAAAAGACAUAUGGAUGAAGGACUCUCCGCAAGGACUAUUCCGUAUGUGCACGGUAAGACCCUGUCCACUGACAAAAUCAAAAUGAGCUAUCUGAAGUGUUCGUGUUACUCUGCGCACUCUGUUGUUGCACAACUUAUUGUCACAGAAAGUUCCAACACGCAGAGGAAACCCACGCUAGAAUAUUCAUCGGAGAACAAAGCUGCCGGGGUGCGUGAUUCCUAGGAAUCAAGUGAGAACCAUUUACACCUGCCCACCUUCUCGGCCACUGGUCAGGGUGGGUCAUUGUUGCAGUUCUUCAGGUCCUUCCGUUGCUUUCUGCAUCAUCUGGAGAACCACCCUUCUGGCUUUCUGCAGAUCAGGGACCUUGUGGGAGUCACAAGUGCUGUGGUCCAGCAGCUACUGGAAGAGACACACUGCCCUCUUAACACAGAACCCCUGAGUUCGGGCUCCUCCCUCCUCUGUAACAGCUAUCCGCUUACGCUUCGGUGUAACCAAAGGAGUAAGGAAGUACACAUGGCAGGCCAUACCGGGAAGUCAAAAGCAAUGUCCGUUAUUCUAAGGGAGAUACUUUGAUAUGAAGAUAUGUCAUGGAGAGUUGAGAAGGGGACACACUCUUCAUGGGUUCAGUGACCAUGGGAAGCAUCGCUGGCCUUUCUGGCUGGAGGAGCCCAGGAAUGAACCUGAAAUCAUCAUCCUUGAGAAUCCAGGAGCAGGGCUGCUUGGAACAAGGAUCCAGGUCUCUGAGGGGGAUGAGGAAGGAUGAACAGAGCUGGCUCUGGGAAGAGCAGAAUGGGAAUUAGGUGCUGCUACUGAAGGGGUGCUGAGCUCGAGAGGGUGAAAAGGCUCUGUUAAGGGGUCUUGGAGAAAACAGUAAGAACGUAGAAUAUCAGUCUCUGUUCCUCCUCUACCCUGACCACCACCAGGUGAGCCAGCAAGAAGCCUUCUGGAAAAGGAUAAUGUGGUAGGUCUGUUAAUCACAGUGUGUGAGUCUCUCUCUCUCUCUCUCUCUCUCUCUCUCUCUCUCUCUCUCUCCUCUCUCUCUCUCGUGUGUGUGUGUGUGUGUGUGUGUGUGUGUGUGUGUGUGUGUGUGUGUGUGACUAUGUUUGUGACUGAAAAUACUGAGGAGGAAAGAGGCAGUGGAUUCCCCCUGGAGCCGGAGUUACAUGUGCCGGUGAGUUCUUGGAUGUGGGAGCUGGGAACAGAACUCCAGUCAUCUGUGAAGGCAACAUGCACUCCUAACUGCUGAGCCAUUGCCCUCCAGCCCUCAACUUCCCUGUCCUAAAGAAACAACAAGCAGACAAGACCUAUUGUUUCAUGGAGCCACCCCCACCCCAAAUCCCUUGGAAGAAUUAUUUUCUUAAAUAUGAAUACAGUUGUUGUUUACCC